GAAAGUAAACAUGCAAUGACUCUCGCCAAGAUUCUGUUGGCAACCUUGGUUGACAUCGAGAAGCACGGAUUCCAGAGUUACGCACGGUCAUCAAUAAAGGUAAGAUAAGUCACUCCGUCACUCCGAUUGCUGCUUGGGCUCCGCUGUAAUUCUUGGACACAAAACCGAGUAGACGUGAUUAAUCGACGGCCAGCUGCGUGUUAAACAAUGGCCUCGGCUUGGAUUUUCUCUACAGUUACGGCUUCCGUUUUCGUUAUGGUGGCAUCUAAUCGUAAGUACAAAAACAAAUU
rnacentral:lncRNA from 1 species